rnacentral:rRNA from 1 species
CAGCAGCCGCGGGAAUACAGAGGGUGCGAGCGUUAAUCGGAUUUACUGGGCGUAAAGCGUGCGUAGGCGGCUUUUUAAGUCGGAUGUGAAAUCCCUGAGCUUAACUUAGGAAUUGCAUUCGAUACUGGGAAGCUAGAGUAUGGGAGAGGAUGGUAGAAUUCCAGGUGUAGCGGUGAAAUGCGUAGAGAUCUGGAGGAAUACCGAUGGCGAAGGCAGCCAUCUGGCCUAAUACUGACGCUGAGGUACAAAAGCAUGGGGAGCAAACAGGAUUAGAUACCCCCGUAGUCCCUGUCUCUUAUAC